GCAGAAUACACCAAGACGCCCCCCUCGCAUGGAUGUGUCAAUGAUCACCCCAGAAUCCGCCACAAGCUGGGGUCCCUCAUAGAGCUUCACCCUGUCCAGGAUUCCAGGAUAGGAGUAUCCAUUGGUGCUAGGGUGCCAGUGGGCACUGUGCCACCAUGCCUGGGGCCUUGCUUUUCCCCAGCCCCCCUUGAGCUCACCAGGCCUGAGAGAGAAGGGAGGGAGGGAAAGGGAGGCAGGAAGGAGAGGGAAGGGGGGUGCUUUUCUCAGGCCUGGGGCCCCUAGCUCUUUGUCCAGCUCCUUUUGCAUCUCAAAGCACCAGCCGCAUUCCAAGCGAGGAUUGGGUUGCCAUGACAAUAAGCACAAUGGGCUGGGGGGUGAAGUCACCCGCUUCCCAGGCUCUAGUCCACCCCCUUUUAUCCCCUGUCCUGGCACCCCACAGCCCCAGGCACCUUAAAGGGGAACCAACCCAGGUUCCUGGACUCUGGGCUCUUGGCCAUGGAAAGUCCAGCCUCUAAGCAGACCCAUUUCCCCUCCCUUCCUGUUCAUCUCCACCAACUAGGGCUACUUGUUGGAGAGAAAUGCAAAGUUGUGGACAAAGUGUUGAACCGAGGCCUGUGAAGUCAGGGCCUUGAUUUUCUCUUCUGUAAAUGAUGAUGCCUUCCAGGUCAGAUGAUCCCUAUCCACGUUGAUAAGACAGGUUCCAGGUCAUACCAACUAAGGGACCAGAUGUGAUGUGCCCCUUCACAGAUUGGCCUGGGUUUGGAGGCUUCUGGAGAACUGUAAAGGGCAUCUAACCCAAUGCCCUCAUUUUACAGACGGGAAAAUGGGUCAUGGAGGAGUGACUUCACCAACAUCACUCAUAGGUGCUUGUGUCCGUGGUGAGAAGGGUGAUGGAGAGAAGUGGCUGCAGUUCCCACCCAUGGAGAGGUCACUGGUGAAUCCCAGCUAAAGAGGAAGGACAGGCCCGGCCUGAGUCCCACAGGUGGGCUCAGCCCCUCUCCUUACCGAAUGUAGCCAACUUGAGGCCGGUGCAGAAGCUGCCAGCGAUAGGAGGUGCUCACCUGGGCCAGACACUGAUGUCACUGCCUAGGAGACAUUGGCAAAGACAGUGGGUCAACUGCAGAACUGGAGUGAGGGGAGACAACAGGUCGGUAAGUGCAGGUGGGAAAGGGAUUCAAGGCGGUCAUGAAAAUGCCCUGGGGCCCCAGAGAGCCGGCCUCCAAGCCAGAUGUCUGGGUAAGAGGGUUCCCAGUCAAGCAGUGGGGGAGGCCCUGGGGCUGCAGAGGAGAGCUUUGGGAAAGGGCCCUGGGUUGCGGAAUCUGAGCAGCUGGGGACCUU
rnacentral:lncRNA from 1 species